rnacentral:rRNA from 1 species
GUGAACGGCCAUACUAUGCUGAAAACACCGGUUCUCGUCCAAUCAGGUCUAGUUAGUACUUGGAUCGGUGACCGAAUGGGAAUCUCAGAUGCCGUUUUCU